GAUUGUCUUUUGGAUAUUUAUUAUAUAAAAAUAUAAAAUCCAUUAUAGCAGAGUUUAUAAGAUUAUAUUACAUGCUUGCAAAUAUCAUUAAUAGGUUAACAUACCCUUCUGAACAUGUCAUCAUGUCAGCCUCUCUGUCAUUUUAAGAUGGAGCAGCGUCUGUCUCCAAGUCUCUCCUCUGUGUCUUAACAUUUAAAAGUACACCUAUUUAUACCUUAGGUGUCUCCAUUUUAAAUUUACCAUAGUUCAUUUACUUUAUUCAUUUUAGGACCUCCCUUAACUUGGCAAACAUACAAGGCCAUAACUAAAGGGUGUAUACGUCACGGAAAUUUUCCUGACUUAGUUCAAGAUGACAUCUUAAAGUCUGAAUAGGUUAUCUGUUGUUUAUACUAAGUCGUAAGUGUACAGUCGUGGGAGAUUCCCGGAUUUGGGGAAGUUCCAUUAACUUGGGGUUACCACAGUAUAUUGUGUACUGCAAGUGUCGUAGAAUAGCCUUGAAGCUUGUUUAUGCAUUAUUGUUAUUGUAAUUCGUCUGGGACAAAAUGGCGCAAACAUAUUAUGCACUGAGGUUAUUGCUUAAAGAAACAGUUAUGAAAAACAAUAUGUUCCAUUUCUAACACCUUGUCAGUUUGCAAUAUCUCUUAAAGACAAAGUACACAGUUUAAGGAAUACAACAUUUCAUUCUAAAACUUGUAAUAUUUGCAUUUGCCCGUAACA